rnacentral:lncRNA from 1 species
CGGUUUCAUUUUGGCGUAUCGCUUGUGGACUAUUCUGCCAUCUUAUGGAUUCCUAUCCCACAUUUGGAGAGCUCUUUCGUGUAACACCCCAAACCCAACCCAGACGUUAUGGCUGAAUCUGGCGUGUUACAUUAAAGUGUUUUAGCAAAAACCGUGUUUUCAUUGAAAACCCUUCUUAAAAAAAUAACCCUAAUUAAAUAAAAAAAAACCUUUCGGUUUUGAAAGUCUU